GAAGUCAUGAAAACAGCCUCCUAGAACCUACGACUAAUACAAAAAUGUCCAAGUUUGCUAUUCUACUCACCUUGAGUUCUGCUACUUUCUUUUUCAGGGUUUCUGGAUCAGAGACAGCAUUCUUAGUUCCUUUUGAAAUCUGAAAUACCAUCGAAGUAACUAUGAACUCAUCAAGGCAAACAGAUGAGCUAAGAUAAGGAAAAUCAUCUUCAUGAUUAAACUCACCACAAAACCCCAGAGCUCCUAGAAGACCUGUAUGUAUUCUCCGGUCUCCUGUUGUUCACACACCUAAUUGAUUUGACUGAUUUUUUUCAUGAUUAACCAAUUUCUAUGGAAUUUCUCAAAAAGUAAAUGUUUGUCAGGUCACAUUUUAAUUUUACAUAUUCUUAAGCAAUAUUCACCGAGAUGGAAAUCUUUUGUGUGCAAAAGAAAAACCAUAUUUUUUAUAUAAACAAUUGUACUUGUUCACCUCCAAAACUUUUAUAUGGAGAAUGUAGCAUCUAAACAUCUAUAAGGCAGUUAAAGAUGGGAAAUAAAAGAAAUUUCUUGUCUUUUGUUAUAAA